rnacentral:rRNA from 1 species
CAGCAGCCGCGGGAAUACGGAGGGGGCUAGCGUUGUUCGGAAUUACUGGGCGUAAAGCGCACGUAGGCGGCUUGGUAAGUUAGAGGUGAAAGCCCGGAGCUCAACUCCGGAAUUGCCUUUAAGACUGCCGAGCUAGUAGGUGAGAGAGGUAAGUGGAAUUCCGAGUGUAGAGGUGAAAUUCGUAGAUAUUCGGAAGAACACCAGUGACGAAGGCGGCUUACUGGCUCAUUCUAGACGCUGAGGUGCGAAAGCGUGGGGAGCAAACAGGAUUAGAUACCCCCGUAGUCCCUGUCUCUUAUAC